GGAGGGAUCAUUACACAAUAUGAAAGCGGGUUGGGACCUCACCUCGGUGAGGGCUCCAGCUUGUCUGAAUUAUUCACCCAUGUCUUUUGCGCACUUCUUGUUUCCUGGGCGGGUUCGCCCGCCACCAGGACCAAACCAUAAACCUUUUUGUAAUUGCAAUCAGCGUCAGUAAACAAUGUAAUUAUUACAACUUUCAACAACGGAUCUCUUGGUUCUGGCAUCGAUGAAGAACGCAGCGAAAUGCGAUACGUAGUGUGAAUUGCAGAAUUCAGUGAAUCAUCGAAUCUUUGAACGCACAUUGCGCCCUUUGGUAUUCCAAAGGGCAUGCCUGUUCGAGCGUCAUUUGUACCCUCAAGCUUUGCUUGGUGUUGGGCGUCUUUGUCUCUCACGAGACUCGCCUUAAAAUGAUUGGCAGCCGACCUACUGGUUUCGGAGCGCAGCACAAUUCUUGCACUUUGAAUCAGCCUUGGUUGAGCAUCCAUCAAGACCACAUUUUCUUAACUUUUGACCUCGGAUCAGGUAGGGAUACCCGCUGAACUUAAGCAUAUCAAUA
rnacentral:rRNA from 1 species